ACAGGGGCUAUGAACCCCUAAGUGGAGAUGAACAGUACAUGGACCGCGCAGAGAGCGUCAGCCAGAGGCAGCACGGGAGCGGCUUCCUGGAGGAGGCCAGAGGCAGGUGUGGCUGAGAGAGAAGAGAUGAACAGUGCUCACCAGACCCAGGCGCUUCUCCACAUUUUCCAGCUUCCCUGGCUCUUAUGGUGCCCGUGUGACUUCUUCAAGCCAGUGAAGUGCUGGAGAAGGAGUGUGUAUCCCCUGUGGCCUCAGGUGUUUACAAAGGAGAACAGGAGGCCCAGAAGCGUGAAGUGAGUCGCCUGAGGCCACUCCACCAACAGGCGCCGGAACUGGACCCAAACCUGCCCCGCUGGCUCCGGGAGCCUCAGCCUCCUGCCUUCCUCCGCACUGCCCCCUGCCGGCUCCAUCCUCCUGGCAUCCCUGAGGCAGAGCCCAGCUCAGGUCAGCCUCAGCUGGGGAUGGGCACAUCCCGGGACUCAAAGUUUUCGCUAGUCUUCACGCGUCUGGGCACGUCUAGGAAAGCAAGUAUUGAUUUUGGAAAUGCAAUAAAUGUAUCGAGUGGGCGAAUUCACAAAUACAGAAUCUGCAAAUAAUGAGGAUUUUCAUCACCCUAAAAGAAAACCCACACCCAUUGGCACUUAUUCCCCAUUCACCCCCAACACUCCCCAGCCCUGGGGAGCUGGUCCAUUCUGCUGGUCGUCAUCCCUCCAGUGCUUGCUCCAUGCCUGGCUUGCA